UCCAUGUAAUAAAAAAAAGAAGAUAGCCGUGGACAUUCCACUCAAUAACCCUUAUCCAGUGGUGUUCCUCUAAUUCCAAACUUUAUCCCGUAAACUAUCUCACUUGAAUUGGCCAUUUACCUCUUAGAUUCUUCAUCAAUGGCGUUACUUCGCUUACUGUGUUGUCCAUCCCUAUUUCCCUCUGCCACUUUGUUUCCCCCCCUGCACCACCUAUCUCCAAUUAGUCCCAUUUCUUUGCAUACUCCUCUUUUCUCCCCCAUUAAACCCCAAAGACCCUACCUUUACAUCUCCCAUUGCUCUUCACCAGAAACUACUCAACCAGAAGAUGAAAGCUCGAAAACAAGAGUACUCGCUCAGAAUGCUCCUUGGACUUAUACUCCUGAUGACCUUCGCCCUCUCUUUCAGAAAUAUGGCACUGUUCACGACAUUGAGGUUGCAAUGUAUAACAAGACAAGAAGCAGGGGCUUAGUCUUUGUUACAAUGGGUUCACAUGAGGAAGCUAAGGCAGUUCUUGAAAACCUCGAAGCGUAUGAGCUUGAGGGUAGACCUUUGAGACUUGCCUGGGCUAAGCCAAAGACUAAGAAACCUUCUUCUCCACCGCCAUCCAAGCCGCUGCCUGUACACAAUCUGUUUGUGGCUAAUUUGCAUUUCGAAGCAAGGUCUAAAGACCUUAUGGAAUUCUUUAAGGAAAAUGGGGCAAAUGUUGUUUCUGCUGAAGUCAUAUUCAAUGAUAAUCCCAGACGAUCUGCCGGAUAUGGAUUUGUUUCUCUUAACACCAAGGAGGAGGCUGACGCAGCCCUAUCCUCAUUUGACGGAAAGGAAUUUAUGGGGAGACAGAUAAGGGUGGCACACAGUAAAAGAUUUCUGAGAGAAGAGACAAAAAAGACUAUCCACUCCCAAGAACAAACAUCUGAAUUGAUCUCUGUGGCAGAAUGAGCUAAUGCUGCUAGAAUUUGAAAGUUAUUCCUAUGAGGAAGUGAGAUGUAACAUUGGACUAGAUGCCAUUGCUAUAAUUGGCCAAACCUACGAAUCCCAGGACCCUGACUAAUUCGGAUUCAUGCCGCGUAAGGCGUAAGGCCCAUUUAAGGGAAAACGCUCCCUAACAAGAUUUUUCCCAUAUACAGGGCUCAAACCUGAGACUUCUGAUAAAGGAUAAAGGAUCAUAUAUCCCAACACAAUCCUUGUUGGUCGUCCUAUCUUAUUACUUCACUGGCAAACAAUCAUCUUGGAAUUAGGGCAACUAAAGGAGCAGGCGCAAGAGGGGAGCAGCGGGCCUGACCCUGUUGAGCCUAACGACCCCAACAAAAUUAGUUUUCUAAUUCUCUUAAGGACUCGUUGGUCCAUAGAUCUUGUUUCAAGAAUUUGAAAUAAUAUUUGGAAAUCAUUUCAAAUAGGUGUUUCUUCUAAUUAA